rnacentral:rRNA from 1 species
GUUUAGACCCGUAGCAGAUAGCUCAGUAACACGUGGCCAAACUACCCUAUGGAUCCGGAUAACCUCGGGAAACUGAGGCUAAUCCGGAAUAGGAUUCUCAGGCUGGAACUGCCGAGAAUUCGAAACGCCCCGGCGCCAUAGGAUGUGGCUGCGGCCGAUUAGGUAGACGGUGGGGUAACGGCCCACCGUGCCAGUAAUCGGUACGGGUUGUGAGAGCAAGAGCCCGGAGACGGUAUCUGAGACAAGAUACCGGGCCCUACGGGGCGCAGCAGGCGCGAAACCUUUACACUGCACGCCAGUGCGAUAAGGGGACUCCAAGUGCGAGGGCAUAUAGUCCUCGCUUUUCUGUACCGUAAGGUGGUACAGGAAUAAGGGCUGGGCAAGACCGGUGCCAGCCGCCGCGGUAAUACCGGCAGCCCAAGUGAUGACCGCUAUUAUUGGGCCUAAAGCGUCCGUAGCUGGCCACGCAAGUCCAUCGGGAAAUCUGUCCGCUUAACGGGCAGGCGUCCGGUGGAAACUGCGUGGCUUGGGACCGGAAGACCUGAGGGGUACGUCCGGGGUAGGAGUGAAAUCCCGUAAUCCUGGACGGACCACCGGUGGCGAAAGCGCCUCAGGAAGACGGAUCCGACGGUGAGGGACGAAAGCUCGGGUCACGAACCGGAUUAGAUACCCGGGUAGUCCGAGCUGUAAACGAUGUCUGCUAGGUGUGACACAGGCUACGAGCCUGUGUUGUGCCGUAGGGAAGCCGUGAAGCAGACCGCCUGGGAAGUACGUCCGCAAGGAUGAAACUUAAAGGAAUUGGCGGGGGAGCACUACAACCGGAGGAGCCUGCGGUUUAAUUGGACUCAACGCCGGACAUCUCACCAGC